rnacentral:rRNA from 1 species
UACGGGGGGGCAAGCGUUGUUCGGAAUUACUGGGCGUAAAGGGUUCGUAGGUGGCUGGCUAAGUCAGACGUGAAAUCCCUCAGCUCAACUGGGGAACUGCGUCUGAGACUGGUCAGCUUGAGUGCAGGAGAGGAACGCGGAAUUCCAGGUGUAGCGGUGAAAUGCGUAGAUAUCUGGAGGAACACCGGUGGCGAAGGCGGCGUUCUGGACUGCAACUGACACUGAGGAACGAAAGCCAGGGGAGCAAACGGG